rnacentral:rRNA from 1 species
GAAAGGAAGAUUAAUACAAGAUGGCAUCAUGAGUCCGCAUGUUCACAUGAUUAAAGGUAUUCCGGUAGACGAUGGGGAUGCGUUCCAUUAGAUAGUAGGCGGGGUAACGGCCCACCUAGUCUUCGAUGGAUAGGGGUUCUGAGAGGAAGGUCCCCCACAUUGGAACUGAGACACGGUCCAAACUCCUACGGGAGGCAGCAGUGAGGAAUAUUGGUCAAUGGGCGAGAGCCUGAACCAGCCAAGUAGCGUGAAGGAUGACUGCCCUAUGGGUUGUAAACUUCUUUUAUAAAGGAAUAAAGUCGGGUAUGGAUACCCGUUUGCAUGUACUUUAUGAAUAAGGAUCGGCUAACUCCGUGCCAGCAGCCGCGGUAAUACGGAGGAUCCGAGCGUUAUCCGGAUUUAUUGGGUUUAAAGGGAGCGUAGAUGGAUGUUUAAGUCAGUUGUGAAAGUUUGCGGCUCAACCGUAAAAUUGCAGUUGAUACUGGAUAUCUUGAGUGCAGUUGAGGCAGGCGGAAUUCGUGGUGUAGCGGUGAAAUGCUUAGAUAUCACGAAGAACUCCGAUUGCGAAGGCAGCCUGCUAAGCUGCAACUGACAUUGAGGCUCGAAAGUGUGGGUAUCAAACAGGAUUAGAUACCCUGGUAGUCCACACGGUAAACGAUGGAUACUCGCUGUUUGCGAUAUACUGCAAGCGGC